rnacentral:lncRNA from 1 species
UCUUGCUCUUGCUCUCUUGCCCUUCUGCCUUUUGCCAUGAGAUGACACCAGAUGCAGACCCCUCAACCUUGUACUCCUCAGUCUCCAGAACUGCGGUGGGAGAAGCAUGAAAUGCAUUUGCAGUGGCCUUGGGCCAUUGGUGGUGUCCGCAGGUGAGACAUCUCGAGUGCCUCAUGGACAAACUUCCUCAUGGAAUCCACUGGAGCAAUUAUGAGAGUCCACGGCCUCUCUUCUCUGGUUCUACCCUCUCCCAAUCUCUCACCUGUGCCGAUCACCUCAGUAAUUUGGAAACGGGCUAAGGAGGUCUCUCUUGGCACUGAGCUGUGACACCUUGGGGGAGAAAAAGUGCAGGACCAGAAAAUCUUUCUCUUCCAGUCAGUGUCAUUCAUUUAUGACCAGCGGUUGAAUCCAGUCAUAAAAUCUGAAGCUCCUGGGUACCUCUACAUCACUGGGCCUAUGAUACACUGUUUCAGAACGUACUUACACAUGGGGUGGGACGAUUUUCUUAACUAAUACUUGUGACUACUCCACAGCAAAGCUGGAAACAAAAGUAUUGGGUGAGCUAUCUUCCAAAAUCUGGAGAUGGUUUCGGAGAGAGUUUCAUUGCCAUAAAUUUAAAGGGGGAUUGGAUUUACUCAGGAAAAAUUACAAGUGAGCGUAGGAGAUAAACUAGUAAAUGCCAUAUUUGGCCCACCAGGCACAAAGAAGGGUUAUAAUUGGCUCCUUUAAGUCCUAUAUGCAGAUAUCAAAUCCCUAUACUUGCUCUUUAUUGCAUAGAAUAAAUUUACCUCACUCCUUACUUUGAAACAUGAAAUGAGGAUCAAAUUAUAGUUUCAAUUAUUGCAAAUAGUUGUACAAAUGAAAAGAUUGUCUUAUUGUGGGCAUUACACAAACCCACCAAGGAAUAAGUAAUCUUUAAAUUCUAUGAAGUGAUUUGUAAUCUGAUACAGUAAGAAAAAAAAAUCUCAGACUUUGAUUAAUUACCACCACGCUCACCGCUAUAUCACUGUCCAAUGUCAUCAUAAUUUCACUGCCACUUAAAACUACACUUCAGCCAUAGAAAGCCAAAAAAUUAGGCACUGGUGACCUGUCCAAAAGAAAAAAAAAAAAAAAGGAACAGGAAGUGGAGAAAUACCACCUCAUAAAUUUCACCCAACCACAUUUAACAGCCACCUGGAGUUCACACCAACUCACUUGGAUCUCCUAUGACGAAUAUGCCUCUAUCACAAUGUUGAGGCCACUGAGUUUCUCAUGUACUAAAAUUUGGCUUAAUGUGGUUACUCUUUCUCUCUGGGAGUUUUAAGAACAACUUCAUGGUCAUAAUAUUCUCUUUAAUAAAUAUGAUUCAUCUGAAUGUUAGAUUCCCGUUUAACUACCACAAUCUUCAGAAGAAAAGUUAUAGCUCUUACUGACUUCAGAAGCUGCUCUGGAUGACUUUAUAAUUUAUCAUCCAAAUGGAAGACGUUUGAGAGCGAAAGGAUACACUAAAAUAAUUAAAUGUAUACAAUUUUUGGAAAAUGUUUAUUGCUUAAAAAUAUUGUUUAUUGUAUGAAAUUUUGUAUAUUUAUAUUCAUGUGUCUGUAAAAACAAUUCUAUUCAAAAAUUACUUUAAAAAUUCUUUAAAGAUACAAAUAUAUUUGUAUACUUUAAAACAGGUUGAAAUAUUGAUUAUAUAAACUAUUAGAAAGUUACAUAAGCAGAAAGAAUAUUACCUGCACAUAUUUAUGUGCUUUAAUCUGCUCCUUAGCUGAAUCUGUCUCUAAUGUGUUUUUUAAAAAAUAUUUUUAAAUUAUUUUUAUUUUUCCUAUAAAAUUGUCUGAAAUAUUUGAAAUUUGAAAAUUAAAAUUCUUCAUUUAAAAAUUUGAAGUCACUGAUAUCCUUACUCACUAGACACAUCUUUGUAAAAGAACCAAAAAAAUAAAAUAUCUGUAAAUGUCCCAAGGGAACUGCUUAUCUCCAAAUAAAUUCUGCUAAAUGUGAUAUUAUCUCAAUUUCAAUUUAUUUUAAGCUGAAAUGCAUAAAUGUUUCAGCCCAAAUAUUUUCAUGGGCACUGCCUCUUUUGCCUCCAUGUAGCACAGCUUCUUCCAACAAAUUUUUUUUAAGACAACACUUGUCAAAAAAGUUGUAUCUAUUUAUAAUAUUUUUGAAAACUUCACCAAAUUAAAGCGCUGAAACAUUGUAGGCUUUGUCAAUUUUCUUUCAGUCUGAUACAAAAUACCAUUUAUCCAAUUAAAAUUAGGAAAUCAACAAAUUCUUUCCACAAGUCAGAUGUUCCAAAGCUGUUAUGUAAUUUCAAAACUAAAUGUUAGAGCCUCUUGUGAGCUCAUUCUGCAGUUCGUUCAGCUUCCCCUUGCUUUUGUAGAGAUAAAUGUUUUCCUGCCUGCAAGAUAUUGUCUUCAAUAUUUUCAGUUUGCAGAAAGCUUCAACCAGAAGUUGCUGUUUUUUCUUGCCACACCAUUUUUAAAUGCGUUGUUUAAAAAUUUUUCAGCCGAUUUUGCAUACAGUGCAACCAAAAGUUAGAUAACUCAUUUAUCAAAAUAUGAAUAUUAUUGUAGGACAUUAAGGUUGAUUUAGAAAGUAGUUAUUCAAAUGAUCAAACAUUCCUAAAAUCUUACUGAUGAGAGGCUGCAGAAAAAGCAUACCGUUAUGCUGGAGAUUUUUAAAUUCAAUAUUAGCUUUAUCACAAAAGUUUAAUUAUUCCAAUUGUGUAGAUAUAAAAAUAUUUAUGGAUUUUGACAUCUUUAGCUUCUAUUUCAAUUAGUAGAUUUUUUUAAUUAAACUUAAGUUCUGGGAUA